AAGAAGACGACAAAUAAGAAUGGUAUUAAGUUGGUAGAAUGGAACUCCUUCCUGAUUCCUGCACAUGUAAGUUACCAGAUACUCUUGAGGGACCAAUUUAAGGGCAAACAGACAAACGUUUUGAUGCAAAGAAAGCAUUGGAUUUGAAAGUUCCCAUGGAGAAGAAAAAUGGAGAGAUUCUAAAAGUAUGAAGAUACUCCUGUGUAUAAUGAGGAAAUCUUGUCAGUGAAUGUUGUUGCAAUUGUGGACCAGGCCAGAGUUGUACUAAACCAACUAAGACACAAUGAGAUACAGGAAUGACACAAUGAGAAACAGGAAACAGGAAAGUGAUGACUGAUCGCCACCUGUUACAAAUUCAUCUAGAAAACUCCCCACAUCCAACAAGAGACAGUCUGACUUCAAAAUCUUCAUUGAAAGCAACUUAAUGGACAAGACAUCCGUCACAUAAAGAUUCACUAAAAUUGGAAUGAUAUACCAAUUUUAACUUUUAACAGACAAAUACAUUAUAGAUUUGAAAAUAGAUUACCCUUAAAUAAGUUGGAUGAUUAACAUUUACCUCAACACAGUACAA